UGAACUCGAGGGUAACAUAUAAAACUCUUCGAUACUACAAACUUGGCAACCGAUUUUUCUUUCCAAUUCGUAUCAUCUGAAACAUAAAACACAAAAGAGUCUUUAGGUAUUUUUAAAAGCAGAAGGAAGAUUUACUGGCUGAUCAUUGACUCUACAAAAUGACUUCUGCACCACUGCUGAGAACUGCCCUUCACCCACUUGAAAACCUCACACCAAAUCAGGUUUGCAGAACAGAGGGUCUGUUGCUGGACGUUGAGGCUUCCUUCUUCAAGAUGUAGGUCUGCUGUCACUCAGGAGCAAAGAGGACAGAAGAACUAUGGAAAAGGAAACAAGAAUAUAACUCCAGCUUAUGGAGAUCAGUAGCCUUACAUCUCCCAUGCCUUCAAGAGUCCAUGGUAGUGUUUAUUUCCUAUCCAGAGCUGGGACUGAGGGACUAAAAGCUAAUAAAGUACCUGACAGAGUAAAAGCAUUAAUUAUGUUCUGAGGGAAGAUAUGUGUCAUUAUAUCAGUUUUAUAGGCUGGGACCUGUAAAAGAGCAGCCAGGUGCCAAGAAUAAGUUCCUGUAUCAGUUCCCUGACAGAUACCAACAUUUUGUCGUGCUUGUCCAGUUCUACAUCACCCAUGAUUUUCUGGGGUUAUCCAGAAUGGCAGUGGAGGAACAUCUUGUUCAGUUGGAAAGACUUAGAAAGAAGAGAGGUCUGUUGACAGAAUGUUAUCUGGAACCCUGGGUGUCAUCUGCAGGCUGUUUCUACUCGAUACCCUGAAACUUGAAAAUGGAUUUGUCACUAAUCAGGUCAGCAAAAUGGAAGAGAGUCAUUCAAAGAUAAUGUGGCAGAAUGGAGCUAACAGAAAACAAGGACAGAAUAAAUGUUGUAAGAUACUAUCUUAUGAGACACAGGAGGUUUUAACAAAACAUUCUAUGUUAAGAUUUUCUUCCAGCACCUAUUUUUAUCUCCAUGCUUUUGAAAUCAAACUCCAUUAAGUUUUCAUGAAUCUUAGGACAAGUGCUGCGUUCUGCCAGGAACUGUUAUGUAGGAAAUGGUGUGUAAAAAAAUAAAAAUCUGGACAGGGAUAACUAUUUACUAUAGCACACUUUGUUAAUUUAUGAAGGAGUUUUGCUCCUUUACUCAGAGUUAGCUUACACCAUCUUUCCAGCUGCAAUAAUCUCAAUGCCAAAGCUUUAUUUUUCCCUUAUGAAGGGAUGAGGUUGGAUCUUUGCUACUUAUUUAGAAACAGGUAUGAAAAUUGUAUUUGAAAGUUUAAUAUGCUUAGAACAGCACUGUUUGAAAUAUAUAAA